CUUGGCUAGGCAGGGUCCCGCUGCGGCAUUGCCUGGGCGUUGGGCGGCGGCACAUCGCUCACCGCGAUCGUCGCCACGGUCCCGCGACUUCCGGAGUCCGGCUUGGCGGAACCAGGCUGAGAGAAGGUCCAGCGGACCUUCAAGGAUGCCCAGGGCGAUGGAAUCCGAGGAAUCCCUAGAUGAUUCAGGCCAGUCCAGACGAUCUUGGGGUGCGUCUCCUUGAAGGCUGUCCCCGCUGGGAAUUAAAGGUAAGGUUAGCCUGUGUGCUGCGGGGUGCUCUAACCCCGAGGGCCUUCCCGGAAGAGAGAAGAACCGCACAGCCUCAGGAGCUGCCUGCGACUGUUGGAUUUCCCCGCGUGGCUUAGUCUCCGUGUGUGUGUGUGUGUGUGUGUGUCUGCUCGUAUGUCUCCGUGUGUGUUCACGUGUGUGUACCUGUGCUUGUGCUGCUUGUGGCCGGGGCUCGCGUCACAGUGACGGCCGCCGUGUCCUGGGCAACCGUCUCAGUGGUUUACCAAGGGAGGGUCCCGCUGCGGAAGUACCUGGACUUUGGGCGACGCCCCCCACCCCACCGCGAUCGUCGCCACGGUCCCGCGAUUUCCGGAGUCCGGCUUGGCGGAACCAGGCUGAGAAAAGUUCCAGGGGACCUUCAGGGAUGCCCAGGGCGAUGGAUCCCCAAGGAUCCCCUAGAUGUUUCAGGCCUUCCCAGACUCUGUUGGGGCGCGUCUCCUUGAAGGCUGUCCAUGCUGGAAAUUCCAGGUAAGGUCAGCCUGUGUGCCUGUCUCUUAUACACAUCUAGAUGUGUAUAAGAGACAGGUUGGGUUUCUCCGCGUGGCUUAGUCUCCGUGUGUUGGUGUGUGUGUGUGUGUGUGUGUGUGUGUGUGUACUUGGAAACCAAGGCAGGGCCCCUUGGUGGGUGGCCCAUGUCGAAGGGGGGCAGUGAGCUCACGGAGCAGGGGAAUGUUCUGCUGACACCCUCCUCCGGGGUGUCAGUCUCAAGUCUCUGGUGUCCACCCACCCCCGCCACACCUCAUCAGCCUGCAUCUCCAGCCCGAUGGGACCCGACCACGGCCCACUCCUUCCAAGCCAUCCGGGAUGCCAUGGCGAGGGCAGUCCUUAGUGCCCACCUGACGAUCUGAAGCGCCCUCCUCCUCCAGCCGAUGCGAUCAGGAAAGCCGGCUCAAAGAGGUACGGAGGUCAGAAGUGCCGGGCUACUGCGCUGCUUGUGGCAGGCGGCCUCCUUCCCCGGG
rnacentral:lncRNA from 1 species